UUCAGUAAGAAUUACCAAAUCUGGCCGCCUGUCAGGAAAACAAAUGGACACAGAUGUAGUUUUCCAUUUUACAGGCUGUUUAUGUCUUGCAAAUUCCUUCUCCAGAAGAGCGGGGUAUGUUCUUUCAUGUUUUAAUGGCUCAGAGUGACCGCAGCCCUUUGUGGCAAAAUGCACUUUUCCAAUACUAAUGACAUACAGUCACACAAGGCUCUGGCAGCAGCGUGCUACUGAGGCUGCGUGCCCGCUGUGUAAUUAGUCCACCACUAACUCCUAGUCUGGGGAAACAUUCACAACCACAUUAAACACUGACGGUUUUUCACCUCAGAGAGCCUGAAGCAGAUGGAUACGCUUUGGAGGAAUCAUAUAGAGCACAAAUGGCUUUCAUCAGUCAGUCAGACUGAUAGCAUUUGUUGUCUAAUAGGAGGAGGUUACUCCGCAAGCUCCUCAGGCGCUGGAAGGCCGAGAAGGAUUGGAUGACAGUGGUUUUAUUGGAGUGAUCGUCUCUCGUGUGAUCCUCUUACAAGAAAUGUAAAAAGUAAAAAAAAAUCAAAGUACCCAACAGUGUUUGUCGAAACACUGACAAACCUCACAGAAAUACCACUGUGCUGAAAACCACAGUGCUCACAUUUCUAACUGAGAGAUGCGAAACAGUGUGGCUUCAUGGCUGUUUUGUGCAAUAACGCCACCUGGUGGCACUCACUCUGUAUUACACCAAACCAAAGUUGAGAUCUUUGAAAGGUAAUGAGAUCAUUUCAUCAGUGUCUGAGUUGCAUUUUGGGUGAUGUAGGCCACAGGUUCAGAAAGGAACAAGAAUGUGUGGAGUAAAAAAGUUGAUAUUUCUAGUUCGGCUGUAUCAAAUUUGUUCAUUUGUUUUUUAAACUGCAGGAGUUAAAUGAUAGCCCAGUGGACAGCUUUUCGAAAGCUGGUGCCACCAUUACCCACAAUGCAACUUAGCCACGAGUAACAUCACUGCAGGCAAUUUGUCAGAUUACAUGCAGCUUCCUCUAGAGCCACAAAAAGCCAUUAAACACUUUUUUCACACAUGUAGUAAUACUCUUCAAGACCUGUAAACACACUCAGGAUAAGUGACAAUACACUAUACAACUACUCACUUCCUAGGGUUUCAAGAUAACUGAUAAUUAUUCAUUUAUAAUUGCAGUUAAAUAGUAAAAACCAUAGCAAGCAAAGGGUUAUAUAGGAUUAAUAAAACCAAGUGUACUCUGUAGUGGUAAAAUCUCAUUCUGUUACUGAAGCUGUCAAAAAAUGUAGCUGAGUAAAUAUUUCACUCUGAAAUCUAUUGGAUUCAAAGUCUAAAGAAACACAAGUAGCGCACCUGACUAAAUAUGUUUUCCACCUCUUGACUUUUUUUCACUCUAAGACAUAAAGGAGUGAAACCGUAUUUGCUCUAAUAUAUAAAACAGAAGUAUACAUAGAUGCUCAAAUAUUCUGCUAAAUCCUGUCUGAGUUUGUCCCCAGAGAGCAAUAAACUGAAGACGUUUUCUGAUCCCUGAUCCAAGCUGUUCCUGCAGACCUGUCUGAAGUGUCUUUCAGCUGGCAAACAGACACGUGUGGAGCAAAACCUGCUGAAACCAUCACUCAGACUCCAACCAGCCUCAUUAGCAGUAGCUGUCUCAUGCAUAUGUCUCUCUCAUCUGCGGAGUUAACGAUAGCGCUGAGGCUGUAUGUCACCAGGGUCACAUGAAAGUCCCCCACACCAGAGGAAGGCCUCUUGGUGACCCCUCGUCUGACGUCGAGUGUUAAUCGCAGCGGUGAAUAGAGCCAAGAAAGGAGCAGGCGCUGAGGUGUCUCCCUGAACGGAUCUGCAGAGGAGUCCUUGUGUGCGUGUCAGUCUUUCUGAUGGGCUGUUAAAAGCCAUCAGGGUGCUGUGAUCUCAGAGCUCACCCCAUAUGGUCCUUGUUAAGGCUGGGGGAAAUUGGAUUAGAGAAAUUCUUCUUGAAACGCUCCGAAUUGUUCUUGCCAUAACAACUGCGAGCAGCUGACACCAAUGAGACCACAAAUCAGCCUGAAACUAAUAUCCAGCUUCUCUUUUUCAUGUCAAGCAAGUCACAACAGAGGAAAAGAAGCCGGCUGGAGGGGAUUCUGCUCCACACAUCUUUUGCUCAGAGAGGAUGUUGUUCCACCGCUGGCAGCAGGGGACUCUGGUGGAUCCACACCAUCAGAGGAGGGAAAUCACCUGAGCCAGCAUGAGAGGAAAGAGCUUACAGGUGUCCGUGUGACCCCCCCCAGGAUCUUGAUCACAUCCACCACUUUGCUUGAAAUUAUUUUUUUAAAUGGAGUAAUAAAAGCUUUGAGGCCGGAGGACGGCACAGGCCCGAGAACGUUUCUUUUAAGUGUUUGAAUCAGGACCACAUGUUCAAUUCAAAGUAAGCAAGUCAUAUGUUUUAUGUCACUUUUUCUGGGAAAGGAUGGAAUCUUGGCCGCAGCCACCGUACCACAAUUUGCUGAAAUAAAGCAGACUGCAGUCUGUGUGUGGACGCCACUCAAACACCCCAGGUUAGCCAAACAAACCAGACUGACGUGGGCAGACAGUUUGAGAGGCGUAUCGAGUGCCUGCUAAUCCCAGCGGAGCUUUUAUAGAGCCGACGAACGGGCGAGAAGGCAGGACAGUAAGAAGAAACAGAGUGUUUCCCUGCAGCAGUCUGCAGCAGAGCGAACCUGCCUCCGUCAACAGUGCAGUUCAACAGAAGACAACAACAUGGCAGAUUAGAACCAAAACAAGCAUGGCCGACCAUCAAGCGAACACGUCACACUCUCUCAGCUCCGUUCAGGUCCUGCGGAGGAGUUUUGUCUUGUGGAAGAAUUCAACAGUUACAAGGACGAUUUGACGGGAGAUGAAGCAAAGAGUGUAAAGAACAGCACAGACCUGUGGCAGAGCUGAGGCUCUGUGUGGCAGGACUCAGUCAGGCUCAGGAUAGCGUCCUUGAAAAAAUGAAUGAUAAUGAUGUCCUCAGAGCUGUACAUUUCCAACAAGCUACCGCGCUCUCUAAAAACGAACUACACGUUGUGAGCCGCUUCUCUCUUUGUAAUUUCGUACCACUUGGUCAGCAGGAGUCAGCGAUUGUUUGUCAAAGUCAGGUUACAAUCGUUUAAACUGUCUAGCUUGCAUUUCGACUCGUCUGAAAACAAAAUGAAGACAGGCCUAAGACCACAGACCUGUCCAACAAAUCUUUGUGAAACCGUCCCUGAAAAAAAGAUUUUAAGAAAUACACAAAAUUAAAAUUUCUGCCUCAUGGUUGUAUGCCUCCGUGCAACAGUCAAGUCAUAGUUCCUUGUGUGCUAUUCUAUGGCGGUGAAUAAUGCACAGAAUAUUUUUUAGCGGAAUAUUAUGUAACAGUGAAGUUGACCUUUGACCUUUUGGAUAAAAAAUGUCAUAACUUCUAUCCGUUUUAUCCUGUAAGACAUCUGUGUCAAAUGUCUUGUUGAGUUAUGGCCAAAAUUGUGAAUUUGUCAAUUUUAGGACUUUUUCCUAAAGUGGAGGCUGUACACCACCUGGGUACAAAGAUUGUCAUUGGGUCAUUUUCAACCCAGCAGUUAAAAUCACAGUCACAGAGUCAGUCACAGACUACCAAACACACACACACAGUGCUGAUUGAUCUCAGACAGAACUAAAACUUUCUCGCGCAGGUGUACCGUCACCUUUCCACGACCCCAUACGCAACUUUUAAAGAUCAAAGUUCAAACGAU